CGGGCGGGUGAGUAAUGUCUGGGAAACUGCCUGAUGGAGGGGGAUAACUACUGGAAACGGUAGCUAAUACCGCAUAACGUCGCAAGACCAAAGAGGGGGACCUUAGGGCCUCUUGCCAUCGGAUGUGCCCAGAUGGGAUUAGCUAGUAGGUGGGGUAAAGGCUCACCUAGGCGACGAUCCCUAGCUGGUCUGAGAGGAUGACCAGCCACACUGGAACUGAGACACGGUCCAG
rnacentral:rRNA from 1 species